AACAUAGACAAGCCUAAAUCUCAGGAAUGAGAUGCGGGGGAUAAUUAUUUUUUGGGGUGAAUCUUUUUACUAAAAAGUAGGGGUAUCCCAAUCCCGAACCCGUCAACUAACCUCGCAGGCAAAAUUAAGGGGGAUC
rnacentral:sRNA from 2 species